rnacentral:misc_RNA from 1 species
AACGAGGCCGACCUGCGGCUGAGUUACCUGCGGAAGGAUCAUUACCGAGUUUACAACUCCCAAACCCCUGUGAACAUACCUAUACGUUGCCUCGGCGGAUCAGCCCGCGCCCUGUAAAAAGGGACGGCCCGCCCGAGGACCCCUAAACUCUGUUUUUAGUGGAACUUCUGAGUAAAACAAACAAAUAAAUCAAAACUUUCAACAACGGAUCU